rnacentral:rRNA from 1 species
GUGCUUAACACAUGCAAGUCGAACGGAAAGGCCUCUUCGGAGGUACUCGAGUGGCGAACGGGUGAGUAACACGUGGGCAAUCUGCCCUGCACUUCGGGAUAAGCCUGGGAAACUGGGUCUAAUACCGGAUAGGACCUCAAGACGCAUGUCUUCUGGUGGAAAGCUUUUGCGGUGUGGGAUGGGCCCGCGGCCUAUCAGCUUGUUGGUGGGGUGACGGCCUACCAAGGCGACGACGGGUAGCCGGCCUGAGAGGGUGUCCGGCCACACUGGGACUGAGAUACGGCCCAGACUCCUACGGGAGGCAGCAGUGGGGAAUAUUGCACAAUGGGCGCAAGCCUGAUGCAGCGACGCCGCGUGGGGGAUGACGGCCUUCGGGUUGUAAACCUCUUUCACCAUCGACGAAGGUCCGGGUUUUCUCGGAUUGACGGUAGGUGGAGAAGAAGCACCGGCCAACUACGUGCCAGCAGCCGCGGUAAUACGUAGGGUGCGAGCGUUGUCCGGAAUUACUGGGCGUAAAGAGCUCGUAGGUGGUUUGUCGCGUUGUUCGUGAAAUC